UGGCUAUUUUGCAUGAACAGGUGUCUUUGUCCAUCUCCAUUGCAACAAGGGGGCACUCCCAGGUGUGUAGGGUGAGCCCAGAGGGGUGCUGCACUCCCAGGUGUGUAGGGUGAGCCCAGAGGGGUGCUGCACUCCCAGGUGUGUAGGGCUGAGCCCAGAGGGACCCGGGGCACUCCCAGGUGUGUAGGGUGAGCCCAGAGGGACCAGGGGCACUCCCAGGUGUGUAGGGCUGAGCCCAGAGGGACCCGGGGCACUCCCAGGUGUGUAGGGCUGAGCCCAGAGGGACCAGGGGCACUCCCAGGUGUGUAGGGUGAGCCCAGAGGGACCAGGGGCACUCCCAGGUGUGUAGGGUGAGCCCAGAGGGGUGCUGCACUCCCAGGUGUGUAGGGUGAGCCCAGAGGGACCAGGGGCACUCCCAGGUGUGUAGGGUGAGCCCAGAGGGACCAGGGGCACUCCCAGGUGUGUAGGGUGAGCCCAGAGGGGUGCUGCACUCCCAGGUGUGUAGGGUGAGCCCAGAGGGGUGCU